rnacentral:rRNA from 1 species
GACGAACGCUGGCGGCGUGCCUAAUACAUGCAAGUCGAACGCACAGUUUAUACCGUAGCUUGCUACACCAUAGACUGUGAGUUGCGAACGGGUGAGUAACGCGUAGGUAACCUGCCUGGUAGCGGGGGAUAACUAUUGGAAACGAUAGCUAAUACCGCAUAAUAUUAAUUAUUGCAUGAUAAUUGAUUGAAAGAUGCAACUGCAUCACUACCAGAUGGACCUGCGUUGUAUUAGCUAGUAGGUGAGGUAACGGCUCACCUAGGCGACGAUACAUAGCCGACCUGAGAGGGUGAUCGGCCACACUGGGACUGAGACACGGCCCAGACUCCUACGGGAGGCAGCAGUAGGGAAUCUUCGGCAAUGGACGAAAGUCUGACCGAGCAACGCCGCGUGAGUGAAGAAGGUUUUCGGAUCGUAAAGCUCUGUUGUAAGAGAAGAACGGGUGUGAGAGUGGAAAGUUCACACUGUGACGGUAUCUGACCAGAAAGGGACGGCUAACUACGUG